GCAGCCUGUCUGCGGGUACGUCAUUAUCCUCCUCGCUGAGAGCUUUACAACCCUAGGGCCUUCAUCACUCACGCGGCAUGGCUGGAUCAGGGUUGCCCCCAUUGUCCAAUAUUCCCCACUGCUGCCUCCCGUAGGGGGGCGGGGGCGGCGGGCCGGGCGCGGGCGCGGCGGGCAAACUUCGCGAGGCGCGACGGGCGAUGGAUCGGGCGCACCUCUCACCCUCCGGGGGGGGGGGGGCCUGGAUUUAGUUCUAGAAAAAAAAAGCCUUCUCCAAACACCCCUCUACUUGUCCGCACC
rnacentral:rRNA from 1 species